rnacentral:rRNA from 1 species
GUGGGGAAUCUUAGACAAUGGGCGCAAGCCUGAUCUAGCCAUGCCGCGUGAGCGAUGAAGGCCUUAGGGUUGUAAAGCUCUUUCGCUGGGGAAGAUAAUGACUGUACCCAGUAAAGAAGCACCGGCUAACUCCGUGCCAGCAGCCGCGGUAAUACGGAGGGGGCUAGCGUUAUUCGGAAUUACUGGGCGUAAAGCGCACGUAGGCGGACCAGAAAGUUGGGGGUGAAAUCCCGGGGCUCAACCUCGGAACUGCCUUCAAAACUCCUGGUCUUGAGUUCGAGAGAGGUGAGUGGAAUUCCGAGUGUAGAGGUGAAAUUCGUAGAUAUUCGGAGGAACACCAGUGGCGAAGGCGGCUCACUGGCUCGAUACUGACGCUGAGGUGCGAAAGCGUGGGGAGCAAACAGGAUUAGAAACCCGAGUAGUCC